CCUACGGGAGGCUGCAGUGGGGAAUAUUGGACAAUGGGGGGAACCCUGAUCCAGCCAUGCCGCGUGUGUGAAGAAGGCCCUCGGGUGGUAAAGCACUUUCAGUGAGGAAGAACGCCUGGUGGUUAAUACCCAUCAGGAAAGACAACACUCACAGAAGAAGCACCGGCUAACUCCGUGCCAGCAGCCGCGGUAAUACGGAGGGUGCGAGCGUUAAUCGGAAUUACUGGGCGUAAAGCGCGCGUAGGUGGCUUGAUAAGCCGGUUGUGAAAGCCCCGGGCUCAACCUGGGAACGGCAUCCGGAACUGUCAAGCUAGAGUGCAGGAGAGGAAGGUAGAAUUCCCGGUGUAGCGGUGAAAUGCGUAGAGAUCGGGAGGAAUACCAGUGGCGAAGGCGGCCUUCUGGACUGACACUGACACUGAGGUGCGAAAGCGUGGGUAGCAAACAGGAUUAGAUACCCGGGUAGUC
rnacentral:rRNA from 1 species